rnacentral:rRNA from 1 species
AUUGAACGCUGGCGGCAGGCCUAACACAUGCAAGUCGAGCGGAGCGGCGGACGGGUGAGUAAUGCCUAGGAAUCUGCAUGGUAGUGGGGGAUAACGUCCGGAAACGGGCGCUAAUACCGCAUACUAUCAGAUGAGCCUAGGUCGGAUUGGCUAGUUGGGGGGGUAAAGGCCUACCAAGGCUACGAUCCGUAACUGGGCUGAGAGGAAGAGCAGUCACACUGGAACUGAUACACGGUCCAGAAUCCUACGGGAGGCAGCAGUGGGGAAUAUUGCACAAUGGGCGAAAGCCUGAUGCAGCCAUGCCGCGUGGGUGAAGAAGGUCUUCGGAUUGUAAAGCACUUUAAGUUGUGAGGCGUUACCAACAGAAUAAGCACCGGCUAACUGCGUGCCAGCAGCCGCGGUAAUUC